rnacentral:rRNA from 1 species
GACGAACGCUGGCGUCGUGCUUAACACAUGCAAGUCGAACGGAGUGGCGAACGGGUGAGUAACACGUGGGUGAUCUGCCCUGCACUUCGGGAUAAGCUUGGGAAACUGGGUCUAAUACCGGAUAGUGCAAGAUGAGCUCGCGGCCGAUCAGCUUGUUGGUGGGGUAAUGGCCUACCAAGGCGUCUACGGGUAGCCGGCCUGAGAGGGUGUACGGCGACAUUGGGACUUGGAUACGGCCCAGGGUCCUACGGGAGGAAGCGGUGGGGAAGAUUGCACAAUGGGAGGAAGCCUGAUGCAGCGACGCCGCGUGGGGGAUGAAGGCCUUCGGGUUGUAAACUCCUUUCGAAAGGGACGCGGUACCUGUAUAAGAAGCACCGGCUAACUACGUGCCAGCCGCCGCGGUAAUAC